GAGAGAUGCUCGCCAGCAACAAAGACUGCUAAUCUUUGCCCCCUUGGUUGAACCCCAAGGCUCACUCG
rnacentral:tRNA from 1 species